rnacentral:rRNA from 1 species
AUGCAGUCGAGCGGAAGGCCUCUUCGGGGGUACUCGAGCGGCGAACGGGUGAGUAACACGUGGGUAACCUGCCCUUGGCUCUGGGAUAACCUCGGGAAAUCGGGGCUAAUACCGGAUAUGACACGUGACUGCAUGGUCUGCGUGUGGAAAGAUUUUUCGGCUGGGGAUGGACUCGCGGCCUAUCAGCUUGUUGGUGGGGUAGUGGCCUACCAAGGCGACGACGGGUAGCCGGCCUGAGAGGGCGACCGGCCACACUGGGACUGAGACACGGCCCAGACUCCUACGGGAGGCAGCAGUGGGGAAUAUUGCGCAAUGGGCGGAAGCCUGACGCAGCAACGCCGCGUGCGGGAUGAAGGCCUUCGGGUUGUAAACCGCUUUCAGUAGGGACGAACUCAGACGGUACCUACAGAAGAAGCACCGGCCAACUACGUGCCAGCAGCCGCGGUAACACGUAGGGUGCAAGCGUUGUCCGGAAUCAUUGGGCGUAAAGAGCUCGUAGGCGGCUUAGUAAGUCGGGUGUGAAAUCUCCAGGCUCAACCUGGAGACGCCACCCGAUACUGCUAUAGCUAGAGUCCAGUAGGGGAGUGCGGAAUUCCUGGUGUAGCGGUGAAAUGCGCAGAUAUCACGAGGAACACCGGUGGCGAAGGCGGAUCUCUGGGCCUUACCUGACGCUCACGCGCGAAAGCUAGGGGAGCGAACAGGAUUAGAUACCCUGGUAGUCCUAGCCGUAAACGUUGGGUGCUAGGUGUGGGC